rnacentral:rRNA from 1 species
UACAGAGGGUGCAAGCGUUGUUCGGAAUUAUUGGGCGUAAAGAGCUCGUAGGCGGUCUGUCGCGUCCGUUGUGAAAACUCGAGGCUCAACCUCGGGCUUGCAGUGGAUACGGGCAGACUAGAGUGCGGUAGGGGAGACUGGAAUUCCUGGUGUAGCGGUGGAAUGCGCAGAUAUCAGGAGGAACACCGAUGGCGAGGGCAGGUCUCUGGGCCGCAACUGACGCUGAGGAGCGAAAGCAUGGGGAGCGAACAGG